rnacentral:rRNA from 1 species
AUUGAACGCUGGCGGCAGGCCUAACACAUGCAAGUCGAGCGAGCGGCGGACGGGUGAGUAAUGUCUGGGAAACUGCCUGAUGGAGGGGGAGAACUACUGGAAACGGUAGCUAAUACCGCAUACAAUAAGAUGGGCACAGGUGUGGUUAUCGAGUAGGUGGGUGAACGGCUCACCUAGGCGACGAUCCCUAGCUGGUCUGAGAGGAUGACCAGCCACACUGGAACUGAGACACGGUCCAUACUUCUACGGGAGGCAGCAGUGGGGAAUAUUGCACAAUGGGCGCAAGCCUGAUGAAGCCAUGCCGCGUGUGUGAAGAAGGCCUUCGGGUUGUAAAGCACUUUCAGCGGGGAGGCGUUACCCGCAGAAGAAGCACCGGCUAACUCCGUGCCAGCAGCCGCGGUAAUUC